rnacentral:rRNA from 1 species
GACGAACGCUGGCGGCGUGCUUAACACAUGCAAGUCGAACGGAAAGGCCCUGCUUUUGUGGGGUGCUCGAGUGGCGAACGGGUGAGUAACACGUGAGUAACCUGCCCUUGACUUUGGGAUAACUUCAGGAAACUGGGGCUAAUACCGGAUAGGAGCUCCUGCUGCAUGGUGGGGGUUGGAAAGUUUCGGCGGUUGGGGAUGGACUCGCGGCUUAUCAGCUUGUUGGUGGGGUAGUGGCUUACCAAGGCUUUGACGGGUAGCCGGCCUGAGAGGGUGACCGGCCACAUUGGGACUGAGAUACGGCCCAGACUCCUACGGGAGGCAGCAGUGGGGAAUAUUGCACAAUGGGCGGAAGCCUGAUGCAGCAACGCCGCGUGCGGGAUGACGGCCUUCGGGCUGUAAACCGCUUUCGCCUGUGACGAAGCGUGAGUGACGGUAAUGGGUAGAGAAGCACCGGCUAACUACGUG